AUUUUUGCACGUCACCUUGGGGAAAUUCCCCGGACGCAAGGGCAGAGAGUGCCACCCGGUGUUCAUUUCGCUGGUUUCCGGCGCGGUAA
rnacentral:RNase_MRP_RNA from 12 species